UUGGAAGUAUUACCGGGUGUGCUGUUUGAGCAUCCUUGACCAUGGUGACUCGGACAUCAUCACCACCGUUCCUCAGUGAAGACAAGCUUACCUAUCCUAGCCUAAGAUGAUGUAGUGUGGAGAGUCGUGCUUGCAAGGCCGAUGGCCGUCUCUCGUUAUCGAGCCGGAGCUGCCAAAUGCAGUUUCAAACCAAACAUGGCUGUUUUUGUAAGGCAUUCCUAUGGGUUUUGUU